UACGAAGGGUGCAAACGUUGCUCGGAAUCAUUGGGCGUAAAGCGCACGUAGGCGGCUUCGCAAGUCGGAUGUGAAAUCCCAUGGCUCAACCAUGGACGUGCAUUCGAAACUGCGAAGCUUGAGUAUGGAAGAGGGUCGCGGAAUUCCCGGUGUAGAGGUGAAAUUCGUAGAUAUGCGGAGGAACACCGAUGGCGAAGGCAAUCCCCUGGGCCUGCACUGACGCUCAUGCACGAAAGCGUGGGGAGCAAACAGG
rnacentral:rRNA from 1 species